rnacentral:rRNA from 1 species
AGUCGAGCGAACGGACGAGAAGCUUGCUUCUCUGAUGUUAGCGGCGGACGGGUGAGUAACACGUGGAUAACCUACCUAUAAGACUGGGAUAACUUCGGGAAACCGGAGCUAAUACCGGAUAAUAUUUUGAACCGCAUGGUUCAAAAGUGAAAGACGGUCUUGCUGUCACUUAUAGAUGGAUCCGCGCUGCAUUAGCUAGUUGGUAAGGUAACGGCCUUACCAAGGCAACGAUGCAUAGCCGACCUGAGAGGGUGAUCGGCCACACUGGAACUGAGACACGGUCCAGACUCCUACGGGAGGCAGCAGUAGGGAAUCUUCCGCAAUGGGCGAAAGCCUGACGGAGCAACGCCGCGUGAGUGAUGAAGGUCUUCGGAUCGUAAAACUCUGUUAUUAGGGAAGAACAUAUGUGUAAGUAACUGUGCACAUCUUGACGGUACCUAAUCAGAAAGCCACGGCUAACUACGUGCCAGCAGCCGCGGUAAUACGUAGGUGGCAAGCGUUAUCCGGAAUUAUUGGGCGUAAAGCGCGCGUAGGCGGUUUUUUAAGUCUGAUGUGAAUGCCCACGGCUCAACCGUGGAGGGUCAUUGGAAACUGGAAAACUUGAGUGCAGAAGAGGAAAGUGGAAUUCCAUGUGUAGCGGUGAAAUGCGCAGAGAUAUGGAGGAACACCAGUGGCGAAGGCGACUUUCUGGUCUGUAACUGACGCUGAUGUGCGAAAGCGUGGGGAUCAAACAGGAUUAG